rnacentral:rRNA from 1 species
UACGUAGGGUGCAAGCGUUAAUCGGAAUUACUGGGCGUAAAGCGUGCGCAGGCGGUUCUAUAAGACAGAUGUGAAAUCCCCGGGCUCAACCUGGGAACUGCAUUUGUGACUGUAGAGCUGGAGUGCGGCAGAGGGGGACGGAAUUCCGCGUGUAGCAGUGAAAUGCGUAGAUAUGCGGAGGAACACCGAUGGCGAAGGCAAUCCCCUGGGCCUGCACUGACGCUCAUGCACGAAAGCGUGGGGAGCAAACAGG